rnacentral:lncRNA from 1 species
AUAUAAGAGGAAAAAACGCAUCAGUUGACAAAGCAGAAUAGUGCCCCUCUAUAUAAAUAAUCAAAUUAUAAGACUUGGAAUAAAUCAUGAGUGUGAUGUUUUUAUUCCAUUUAAGUCACAGGGGGAAGAAUAAAGAAAACGAAUAAGGUUUGAAAUGAGAUCGAUCAUGGUAUGUAAAAAUAAAAAGCAAAAACGCAAACUGCAGAAGGUUGAGAAUGGUGAGAUCUUGUUUUUAGUAAAAAAUGAAUAUGUGAGUGUUACAUGUUUACGUGAUUUACCGGUUUCCGGGAGGGUGGCAGGGGGGCGCCUGAAUGGAGCAGACACUCAACUGUUCACAAUAAUUACCUCUAGGGAAUGUGAUUAGGGAGUGAGGAUUUUUACUUUUUAUUUUAUACGCAACUGCAUUUAAAUACAUCUAUUAAAAUUUUUAUGUGAAUAAUAAAAUGCUAAAAUGUGAUGGGAGAGAGAAUUAAAAGAGAAGACUAGAUACUUGAGAUAUGAUGUUUCUUUUGUUAAGAUUCAAAUAAAACAAGGCUGAGAUUUAAAAGAGGCAAAAACAGAUAUGGUUUGAAAUAAAAGAAUGCAGAUCAAUGCAAAGAAGUUAUGACAAUCAUACACCCAAAGUUUAAAAAAAAAACACCCCAUGAAAAGUUAAAGAUGAAAAGGCAAAGUUGAAAAGUUAAAGAUGUAACAAUGAGGAAGGAACUAUGUUGAAAAGAUCUGUAGGAGAAAAUAAGAAAACAAAGAUCAAAGUUGAGAGAUCUAAAAGACGGCGGAGGAAGUCAGCAGCUAGGAGUGGCUUUGUUCACACGGUUUUCGUCUGGCUUCCCUUGUGAAAAGUCUCCCGUCGGAAUUUGUCCUGCAAGCACCCUCAACCCCUUGUACCUCCACCUCACACCCCUGGGCUCCGACUUCUGUCCACGGGUGACUUUUUGAGCACCUCCUUGUGAACACAAGGUGUGGCUCCUUGAAACUACGAAAACACAAAUGAACACAAAACGGUUGAGCUGGUGGAUUCUAAGCCAGAGAGAAGCAGUUCUGUCCUGUGUAGUCAAAUCAGCUUUGGAGAAAUAUUCUGAACCCUUAGCUCCCUGAGGGAAUGCCUCGCACCCGCCCCGGAGCAGGACAGAGCUGAGUUCAAGUCCCACGCAGGGUACCUCUCUGCACCUCCAUUUCCUCUUUGUAAAGUGGGGGAGAUAAGAAUCCACCUCCUAGGCUUGUUUUGAGGACUAUGUAUGUAUAAAGAGUAUUAGAAAACACUUGAGUAAGUCCAAUUCUCUCCUUUUGCAAAGGUGUAGAAUAUGAUUUGAAGAUUUCUCCACAGCAAGUAUGUGGGGGAGUUUCCAUUGAACUCAAUGUCCUCUCUCUCCAGGGGCCACUUUUCAUUAUGCCAGAGUCCGUUUGGGGAUUACAUUUUCCAUUUGCUUGUUGUCUUCAAGGGACAUUUUUGGUUGCACGCCUUCAAAGUUUCCAAGGAGCAGAGAGAUUUUCAGAGACUGUCACCUGCCCCAAAGAACUAUCUUAGGAUCAGUUGAGUCCUCUGAAGCUGGGAUAAAAGUUCAGCUUUCACUGAAAAGGGCUUCUCCAGCAUCAACGAAAGGAAGACUCACGUGUCCUCCUCGGGGUAGAAGUGGGGAGGGCACCUUAGCCUUUCAUUUUGCUGUCAUCCCUGUCCCCUUAUUUGAAGACACAGACUAGAAGGUUAGAAGGGCAAGGUAAUAGAGCUGUCUUCUUGUAAAAUGAACUAAAAUGAUAUGGAAUGCUAAAGAUGGACCAAGCAGCCAUUAAGCAGUCUGGGACUGCCAUCCCCCGACCCACAACCAAGGCUGCUUUAAACCCUCUAACACCUGGCCUUGCAAGCAGAGAAUGGAAUUAACAUGGAAGAACCAGGGCCAAGAGAUGGAGAGCGUGAGAUCAAAAUCUGAUGAUAUCCCAUCUGAGUCGCCCGAGCCAGAUAACCCCCGAACUCUUCUCUUACAUGAGCUAUUGUCCUUAUAAAUAUACUCCUCCUCCCCAUCUCUUCCUGAAAAAGUUUCCAGGCUAAACUUCCAUGCCUCAACAGUGCGCUCUCCCCACACCCAAAGUCUCUCCUUGGGGACUGAUAGGGAUAAAAUCCUAGCAGUUUCAAAUGUUUUCUCUUUCUUUGCUGUAUCCCAAAGGCCAGCAGGGUCACCAGGUCAUGUGUACCACUCAGCUAGCAGUUUACCAGCCAUAGUGAGGAGGAGACUCCUGGCUCUCUUCUAGGGGUAGUGGUUAGUCACUGCAUUAGAAUUCAAAUAACGCUAGGUGAAGUCUAAAAUAUAGCUGGCCAGGCAGGGCUCCACCUUCACAGCUUGUCCUUCAUCCAGUGGAUGGCUAGUACCACCCAUCAAAUGGCAAGACACUUCCCCCUUGUGUCUCUAGGAAUUCUCAAAAUGAGGGAAGUAUCUCACAUGCAAGACAGGCUCCUACAUGCAGCCUGGGAGUUGCUCUACAACAGCUCUGGUCCUCUCCAUUCCCUGCGCCCUUGCUGCUGCCGCUUGGCCAUGCCAGCCCUGAUGCAUCAUGCUGUUGACAGACUGCUCAGCCACCUGUGCAGGGGCACGCCCACUCGUCACCACCAAUGCCACUUUUUGUUGCCGCUGACUGCUUAAGCUUCUUGCCCCUUUCACUAGCCUCUGUGGGUCUCCGUUGCCUACGUUUCUCUCUGGCUGGUAGAGAAAUGCCUGCCCCUUCAGCAUCCAGACUUUUCCAAGGUGGGUCACCUUCACUAAGAGGUUCAGGCCCUUGAUGGCAUAGCUAUUCCAUUUUACUGCCUGAUGGCUCUGGGUGGUCCCCCAACAUAGUGACUCAGGCCUCAGGUGAGGCAGUUCCUCUAAUGCCACCAUUCAGCUUUUUCCUUCCCAGGGAGCAUGAGCAUUCUAGCCUGGUCACGACCCAGAAUUUCUGCUCCUUCUCAACCUCCUGACCCUUCCGCGGAGCCCAGACCCCAAGGAACCAUUCCUCCCUGAAUCUGAUGGUGUUUGUCUAGGGGUCAGUGCAGUCUGUCCCUUCAGGCAGGUUUCCAUCGGGUAUACCCCAAGAUCAUUAGACAUGUUCAGGACCCAAAUUGCAACCUUAUCUUUCCUCCAGGGCCCCAGGCAGAGGAGCUUGGAUGUGAAUCAGAUAUGUUUUAGGCGUCCACAAGCAUUUCAUGCAGUUGAAGUGAUGUAGGGUCAGUGAGACGAGGAGUCAAAAGAAAGAUUUCUUGGAUUGUCAAGGUCUGGCAAUAGUGCUCUUUUAUUUAGAGAAUAGUAUGGAGUAGCAUGGGGACAGGACCCAUGGGCAGUCAGAGCUGCUGCUGCAAACAUGGGUUGAGGGUAGGGCUAAAUUUAAGGCAUAGGUAUGUGAGUUAUCUCUUCACAAGACAAAGGAAAGAAUAUGUUAAAAAGUUGUUAAAAUGGUAUCAGUGCAGGUGGGGUCUGGUUAUUGGGUGGUCCUAUAACUUUAGAUAAGAAUCAGACCGGAUUAAGUCAGGAUGUCCUGUGCUUCCAGGAGGAUGUUGGUGGUGGGGGGAGUUAGCUACAUGAGGUUACCAGACAAGCACAAUAAACAAGACUUAAGUCCUUGCCAUCCCCAUUAAGAGUUUCCAGAGAUAAGGUCAUCCCCCUUCCUCCUGGUGCAGAGAGGGAGACACCCCCACAGAUGGAGACUUCCUUCACAAAUGCAGAUGUCUCUCAUCAAAGGGCAAGCAAACUCCACUCCUCACAGCCUCCUUCCUGUCUGCAGUUUUUAAAAGUAACCAGCCUAAAAUAAUCCUCAUGAAAAGCAACUCUGUUUCCCAAAAUUAACAGAAACACCUCUAAGGCAGUGCUAUCUAACUACGCAGAAUAGUCGAGUUCUAGCCAAGGUACUCUGUUAUACUCACAUGCAUACACAUCACUAUUUACAUGAUGUUUGGGGCCAAAUCAAAAUAAAAAUAUUUUUGUGUCUCACCUCGUUUCCUUAACAAUAUGCCAUGAGCAUUUCUCCCUUGUCAUUAAAAAUACAUCCAAAAAUUAGUUUACCAUACUGGGUGGGUGUAUCAUAACGUAUUCUUGCCCUUCUUGUUGGGCACGUAUAAGAGCAUCAUUGAUGAACAAUUAUACAUAAUCUCUCAUUAUAUCUCUGUUUAUUUCCUCAGGAUAGAUUCCUAGAAGUAGAAUUGUCACCAAGGGAAGUCUCUAAUACAUUUUCCAUGUCAAAUCCUUUGUUUUCAAUUUGUGCUUACUUAUAGGAACCAAGGCAGGAUAAUGCCAGAUGGCUAAACAGAAGGACGGGUCCAAACCAGAAAGGUCCAAGAUGGCAAUGGCGUGCUGUGCGAAAGGAAACGUGUGCAAAAGGUGCCGUGUGCCAGAAGGGAAGGUCCUGGCACAAGCUCCUAAAACACUUGGAGUUCCGUGAGUGAUAAAAGGUCUUUUAUUAUUCAUAAGGAGCCUUUCCAAGCACACCUGAGUUUAUGCUAAUGAGAUGACUUAGGAUGGGGCCUCUGGACAGCCUCACGAUGAGGCUCGUCACCAGAAAGACCAGGUGAUUAGAGGGCUGGAAUUUCCAGGCCCACUAGCUGACUUCUGGGAAGCCGGUUAAGCUUUAGAAAAAC